UGAGUGUUGAAUAUUCAUCACCUUUAUUAAUAAUAUAGUUUAACUAUAAGUAUAUAUAAUUUAAUUUUUAGUGAUGGCUGUGUUUAAUAACCAGAUUGCAAAAUUCCUGAACAUUUCACAGCUGGCUCUUAUGAACCUGCAUGAUCCUAGCCCAGCACAUCACUGCCCCUCCUCCCUUCAUUCCUCUCCUGUUCUCCCCCAGAUAAUCAUUAUCAGAGUGGGCUAUACAGACCAAUAUCUUGUGAGAAUGGAUUUUAGUGGAAAUCAGGUAUUAGUCCCUUUACAUGCAUCAGAAAGUAAAUAUGAUAUCCAUGGAAUGGUGAGAGGAUCCAGAAACAAAUUUAAUGGAAACAGGAAUUCAGAGCCCAGAGAUGAACCUGAAGCUAAAAGCACCUUUCCUACCCCACCAGGAAUUUUUAGAAAUCUUGGGAAAAUCUGUGUAUGUCCAUUGCCUAGAGCAUGGGCUGUUCUAGGAAAUGUAACAGUCUGGAACCAGCUAAUAUCUGGGGUAAUAAUACACACACACACACACAUAUGUACAAACAGAAAUAUUUGCAUAUGUUUAUAUAAUGGCUAUUAUUAAAGUGGAAUUCAAAGUUAUAUCACUUUUAGGAUAAAAAGAAGACUUCAAAGAAAUUCCCCUGUAGCAACCAUCUAGGCUAGAAGCUCCAGUCUCUUGGGAGUAUGCUUCAUUCUUCUCUGCUGUUUGGGACACCUAACAUGUUUCUCUUCCCUGAAAACUUGUGUUUGUCACCUGGUCUUGACAUUUUAAUCAGAUGACUCCCACGUCUGACUAGUCAUCAGAAUCUGCCUGGAGGCGUUUGAAAAAAUACAGAUUCCAAGAGCCCAUUCCUAGAAUGUUCUGAUUCAGUAGAUGGAGGCUUGGGAUUGGGAAUCUGAAUUCUGAAGACCCUGCCAGGUGACCUGCCAGGUGUGAUAGAGAAACCAUGAAAUGGGUCCAGGUCUAGGAUUGAGGCACAGCUCUGCCCUUCAUUGUGUGACUUAACGUGUCCCAUCUCCUUCUGGGUCAGCUUAUCUUUCAAGCUCUGACAUUCAGGAGAGUGCUAUGCAGCACUGCAGGGCAAGGAGGCCUCUCCCCCGCCCCCGCCCCCACCCCAUGGAAGGUCCUUUCCACCUGCACAUCAGCCCAGCCCCGUCUGCAUGCCAGCUUCCAUUUGAUGAGGAGAAAGAAUUGAGUUCUCCUUUUUGCAGUGAGAUGUCUUGAUUGCAGUACACUUUUAAAGCUUUUCUCUAACAUGGAAAACUUUCACUCCCAACUCAUUUGCCUGGACCAGAGGGACUCUGCAAGUCAGACUUCCUUCUAGAUGGAGAAAACUUGGUGUGGACUUUUAAAUCAGUUUAAAAAAAUGAUUAUUAACCUGCCUCAUGGGAUACAGCAUGCUCUGACUGAAGGCAGGAGGAGUAAGGGGGCCCCCAAGUAUCUAAUUUAACACCUGAAAAUUCCCGAGGAUGAUUAUACCGUGGAAGGAAGACAUAUUGAGGAUUGUAAGAAAAGGUUUAAUAAAAAAAUGUAAAUGGAAAGGCCAUAAAAUUCAAAUGAGGCUCAUUCCCUGGGUUGUAACAAGCUCUGUGCUCAGACCUUGUUAAUAGCUUUUAAAAAAAAAAAAUAAUUUGAUUGUAGCUUCUAUUUUUUCUGUCAGUGUAAUUAGAGCUUAAUUAAUUCCCCCCUAAAGGGGAAAAAGAGGACAAAAUGGUAUUUGAUCUGAGACAUGUACAGUGGGCAAAGCAAUUAGGAUCAGCAAGUUACUUUCUGUUACCUUUUUUCCUAGUUAGGUCUUCGGGGAGGGAGAAGGCUUUGGACAGAGGUCUCCAGGGUCUCUCCCUGGACCAGAUAAUCAGCAGUGCCAGGACAUGCAAUAAGGCUGAAGGAUUUUAUUUAGAUAGAUGUAAUGAAGUUAAAUAUAUAUGUAUAUGUAUAUUCCACAACUGUGGAAGCCUGCUGCAUCAAUUCUUUGGCAAUAAGGAGGCUUAGCUAAGUUUUGGAUAUAAAAUAUAGUUCAGAAACAAAGGUCAUGGAGAAAUAAUGUGAUCUUGGUAACAAUAUAGACAUGGGAUGGAAUCCCAUCUCCAUCACUGAAGCUGUGUGACUUUGCACACCUCUCUGGGCCUUUGUUUCUUAGAAUCUGUAAAACGAGAAGACCAGUAAGUAUUAUUGUACCUAACUGAUGGGCUGACCAUGAAGAGUAAAUGAAGUCAUGUUAACAAAAACACCAGGUGUAGGCAGUUGCUAAGUGACAGUGUGAAUUUCUUUUUUGGGUGGGAGGGGUCCCAAUUUCACAAUACAGUUUAGUGGAAUUAGUCUCGAGCAGUUCCCAGUAUUAGAAUUAAUUACAUUGAGCUUUCACGGCAAUGACUUAUUAUACCAAGCCUGUUAAUGCGACCUCUGGUGGCCUCAUAGGCUCAGGAGAAGCCACCGGCAGUGCAGGUGUGCUGGCUAAUUAGAGGAGAAAUAACACUCAUGAACCUCAAUCAGUUCACACUCAGGAGUUCAGGGAACUGUAUGUUGAAAGCCAGGUGCUUGUGGGACCCACUGAAUGGCAGAAAGUGAUCUAGGGUGGGGGUGUGUGGGUCACAGGAGGAUAGGGAGAGAGACAUCUGUCUUCCAAAAGCAAGCAAGUCAUCUGCCAGCUCAACUUCAGCAUCAUGCUGGGGCCUCCAAGGUGAUGAUGAGAAAAGAAGCCAAGGAGUAGCUCUCUCUCCAGUAUCCCAAAGUGCUCUGAGAUGAAAGCUUGGGGGCAGAACUGAAGUCUGCUUUUUACUUCCUGGCCUUUGCAAGUUAGUUUCCUCUACCUGAAAUGUUCACUUCGCCUGCUUCAUCAAAUUAGCCCCUCCUCUUUCUUCUGGGCAAUGAACUCUGAUAUUAAAUCCAAUACAGUUAUCUCCCCCUGUAAACACUUUUUUUUUCCUUUUUUUGGUCUUUUUGCCAUUUCUUGGGCCGCUCCCACGGCAUAUGGAGGUUCCUAGGCUAGGGGUCUAAUCGGAGCUGUAGCUGCCAGCCUACACCAGAGCCAGAGCAAUGCAGGAUCCGAGCCGCAUCUGCAACCUACACCACAGCUCACGGCAACGCCGGAUCGUUAACCCACUGAGCAAGGGCAGGGAUCGAACCCGCAACCUCAUGGUUCCUAGUCGGAUUCGUUAACCACUGCAUCACAAUGGGAACUCCUAAACACUUUUUCAAAGGAUAAUUUUAUUUGGUUACCCUCCACUAGAGUACAGAUUGUUUUGUUGUUUCUUUGUUUAUUUUUGCUCACCUCCAUAUCCUCCAUUUCCAGCUCAAUCUAAUAUUUUUCAGACAGCUUCUAAUGGCUGCCCACAGAUCUUGGCUUGUGGCUGCAGUAAUCCAACAACAGCCUCUCUGUCACAUCUUCUCUGAUUCUGACCCUUCUUCCUGCAUCUUAUACAGGAAGAUAAUCCAGAAUCACUUUCUCAACUUAAGAAUAUUAACUUAAUCAUAUCUAUAAUAUUUCUGAGGUAACCUAUUCAUAGGUUAAGGAAAUUAGAACCUAGAUGUCUUUUUGGAGGUUUUACUAUAUCUGCCACACUCUCUAAAAUGAUCUACAGGUUUAAUUCAAUCCUUACCACUAUCAUAGCUAGAUUUUUUUCAGAAACUAGCAAGCUGAUCUGAAAAUUCAUAUGACCCAGAAUGGCCAAAACAAUCUGAAAAAGAAUAGUAAAGUUGGACUUAUUUAAAGAUUUCAAAACUUAUUUGAAAGCUAUGGAAUCAAGACAGCAUGAUACUGGCAUAAGCCUAGUCAUAUAGAUCAAGGAAAUAGAACUGAAAGUCCAGAAAUAAAACUGCACAUUUAUGGUGCAUCGACUUUUGACAAAGGCACAAAGACAAUUCAACAAGGGAAAGAAUAGUCUUUUCAAAAAAUGAUAUUGAGUAACUGGAUAUUUACAAGUAAAAGAUCGAAACUAGAUCCCUACCUCACACCAAAAAUUAACUCAAAAAUAAGAUUGAAAGUAUAAAACUCCCAGGAAAAAAAAAUAGGAGUAUAUCUUUGUAACUUUGGGUUAGGCAAAAGCUUUCUUAGAUACAACAUCAAACACAACUGACAAAAAAAUUAGAUAAAUUGAACUUCAUCAAAGUUAAAAUGUUUGUGCUCCGAAAGACAGCAUAAUAAAAGUUAAAAGGCAACUCACAGAUUAAGAAAUAAUAUUUUCAACUGUUGUAUCAGAUGAGAACCUUGUAUCAAGAAUACAUGAAGAAGUCUGAAAACACAACAAUUAAAAAAAAAAACAAAACUCAAUUUACCAUGAGGAAGAGAAGUUCCCAUCGUGGAUCAGCAGAAACAAAUCUGACUGGCAUCCUUGAGGAUGUAGGUUUGAUGCCUGGCCUUGCUCAGUGGGUAAGGAUUCGGCAUUGCCAUGAGAUGUGGUGGAGCAACACAGCUCGGAUCCUGAGUUGCUAUGGCUGUGGUGUAGGCUGGCCGCUACAACUCUGAUUCACCCCCUAGCCUGGGAACCUCCACAUGCCUCAGGUGCAGCCCUAAAAAGACAAAAAAAAAAAAAAAUGAAGAAUGGAUUUCAAUAGCCAUUUCUCCAAAGAUAGUAACAAAUGGCCAAUAAAUACAAGAGUAGAUGCUAAAUAUCAUUAGUCAUUAGAGAAAUGCAAAUCAAAACCUUAACGAGAUACCUCUUCAUAUCCAGUGUAAUGGCUUUAAUCAAAAAGACAAACAAGGAGUUCCCAUCGUGGCUCAGAGGUUAACAACUCUGACUGUAUCCAUGAGGACACAGGUUCAAUCCCUGGCCUUGCUCAGUGGGUUAAGGAUCCGGUGUCAACGUGAGCUGUGGUGUAGGUCACAGACAUGGCUGAGAUCUGGUGUUGCUGUGGCUGUGGUUUAGGCCAGCGGCCACAGCUCUGAUUCGACCCCUAGCCUCGGAACCUCCGUGUGCCUAUG
rnacentral:lncRNA from 1 species